rnacentral:rRNA from 1 species
CAACGCCGCGUGAGUGAUGAAGGCUUUCGGGUCGUAAAACUCUGUUGUUAGGAAGAACAAGUACGAGAGUAACUGCUCGUACCUUGACGGUACCUAACCAGAAAGCCACGGCUAACUACGUGCCAGCAGCCGCGGUAAUACGUAGGUGGCAAGCGUUAUCCGGAAUUAUUGGGCGUAAAGCGCGCGCAGGCGGUUUCUUAAGUCUGAUGUGAAAGCCCACGGCUCAACCGUGGAGGGUCAUUGGAAACUGGGGAACUUGAGUGCAGAAGAGAAAAGCGGAAUUCCACGUGUAGCGGUGAAAUGCGUAGAGAUGUGGAGGAACACCAGUGGCGAAGGCGGCUUUUUGGUCUGUAACUGACGCUGAGGCGCGAAAGCGUGGGGAGCAAACAGGAUUAGAUACCCUGGUAGUCCACGCCGUAAACGAUGAGUGCUAAGUGUUAGAGGGUUUCCGCCCUUUAGUGCUGCAGCUAACGCAUUAAGCACUCCGCCUGGGGAGUACGGUCGCAAGACUG